UGGGGAAUAUUGGACAAUGGGCGAAAGCCUGAUCCAGCCAUGCCGCGUGUGUGAAGAAGGCCUUUUGGUUGUAAAGCACUUUAAGUGGGGAGGAAAAGCUUAUGGUUAAUACCCAUAAGCCCUGACGUUACCCACAGAAUAAGCACCGGCUAACUCUGUGCCAGCAGCCGCGGCAAUACAGAGGGUGCAAGCGUUAAUCGGAAUUACUGGGCGUAAAGCGCGCGUAGGUGGUUAUUUAAGUCAGAUGUGAAAGCCCCGGGCUUAACCUGGGAACUGCAUCUGAUACUGGAUAACUAGAGUAGGUGAGAGGGGAGUAGAAUUCCAGGUGUAGCGGUGAAAUGCGUAGAGAUCUGGAGGAAUACCGAUGGCGAAGGCAGCUCCCUGGCAUCAUACUGACACUGAGGUGCGAAAGCGUGGGUAGCAAACAGGAUUAGAUACCCUGGUAGUCCACGCCGUAAACGAUGUCUACCAGUCGUUGGGUCUUUUAAAGACUUAGUGACGCAGUUAACGCAAUAAGUAGACCGCCUGGGGAGUACGGCCGCAAGGUUAA
rnacentral:rRNA from 1 species